rnacentral:misc_RNA from 1 species
UUUCCGUAGGUGAACCUGCGGAAGGAUCAUUAAAGUUAUAGUCCCCUGGCCCUCUGGGCUGGGGUCUUCUAUACCACCCUUUGUUUAUUACACCUUUGUUGCUUUGGCAGGCCUGCCCUCGGGCUGCUGGCUCCGGCCGGCUCGCGUCUGCCAGAGGACCUAAACUCUGUUUGUAUAUGAAGUCUGAGUACUAUAUAAUAGUUAAAACUUUCAACAACAGAUCUCUUGGUUCUG